rnacentral:misc_RNA from 1 species
GUAGGUGAACCUGCGGAAGGAUCAUUACAGAGUUCAUGCCCUUCGGGGUAGACCUCCCACCCUUGAAUAUAUACCUUUGUUGCUUUGGCGGGCCGCUUCGGCUACUGGCUUCGGCUGGUGAGUGCCCGCCAGAGAACCCAAAAUUCUGAAUUAUAGUGUCGUCUGAGUACUAUAUAAUAGUUAAAACUUUCAACAACGGAUCUCUUGGUUCUGGCAUCGAUGAAGAACGCAGCAUCUGACUGACUCGGAA